UGGCAGGGGGUCAUCCUCGCUGGAGAGUUUUCACCGCCACCAGUGUGCCUUCAUUCCUGGUAAAUUCUCAAUGUUAAAUUGCAGUAUGUUUUGUAGAUUUUUACGUUGAAAAGAUCGCUAUUGUGUCAACAACAGAACCCUGGGUGCUACCUGGAUUUGGCUUGUUUUCAUGGAAUUUACUAUCAGUCUCAUUAUUAUGUGUUACUGUUCUAUAACUGUGUCAUUAAAUUUGUAUGUCCUCAGUUUAAAAUAAUUGCUGACUGAAUCUGUGCAUUUUCAUUCUUAGGAUGGAGAUGCAAUGCCAUGCACACACAAAUGUACAUGUUAGAGGGGGCCUCGAGGUGGAACAUGAGCCGGGCAAAAGAAGCUGUAUCUGUGGUGGGGGCCUCAACCCUCAGGACAUUUGAUGUCUGCACAAUGUCUCAUUUAAACAGCAUGAGCCAACGGGUCCUUGGUCGGGCUUUGAUGCCAGAAUUUACCCCUCCAGGAAAACCCACUGGGAAGCGCAUUGCAGUGGAGUACUUGUUGGCCCAGUCCAACAGAGGUGACCAGUUGAUUGCACAUCACAAUGACAUGCCUGAAGUCCCCCCAGAGGAGCCCGAAGAGGAUAGUGAAAUUGACACGACUGUGUGCUAUGCAGCUGACCUUAGGGCUGAUGACUCUGACCCUCCAGUAGCUGUCGUACAGGCCCAGGUGACCAGUCAGGUUGGUGACACUGAACCCAAAUCCCCUGAUGAGGAGGUCACUAAGGAAGAGGAAGAUGACACUGCAAGUCCUAG
ensembl:lncRNA